rnacentral:rRNA from 1 species
GACGAACGCUGGCGGCGUGCCUAAUACAUGCAAGUCGAGCGAGCAAUUUUAGCAGAAUACCUUCGGGUAGGAAGCUAAGAGCGCGAGCGGCGGAUGGGUGAGUAACACGUGGGCAACCUACCCUUUAGCUGGGGAUACCACUUGGAAACAGGUGCUAAUACCGAAUAAGAAGCAAGAGCGCAUGCUCAAGCUAUGAAAGGCGGCUUUAAGCUGUCACUAAAGGAUGGGCCCGCGGUGCAUUAGCUAGUUGGUAAGGUAACGGCUUACCAAGGCGAUGAUGCAGAGCCGAGUUGGGAGACUGAACGGCCACAUUGGGACUGAGACACGGCCCAAACUCCUACGGGAGGCAGCAGUAGGGAAUCUUCCACAAUGGACGCAAGUCUGAUGGAGCAACGCCGCGUGAGUGAAGAAGGUUUUCGGAUCGUAAAGCUCUGUUGUUGGUGAAGAAGGAUAAGGAUAGUAACUGAUUCAUAUUUGACGGUAAUCAACCAGAAAGUCACGGCUAACUACGUGCCAGCAGCCGCUGUAA